UGAGGAACAUGACCUUCGGCGGGGGAUAGCCGGCCCAACGGCCGGGUAAUACCGCGUACGACCACAUGGGGACAUCCCUGAGUGGUGAAAGCAGCAAUGCGCCGAUGGAGUGCCUCGCGGCCUAUCAGCUAGUUGGUGAGGUAACGGCUCAUCAAGGCGACGACGGGUANCUGGUCUGAGAGGAUGGCCAGCCACAUUGGGACUGAGACACGGCCCAGAUCCCGUAACGGGG
rnacentral:rRNA from 1 species